rnacentral:rRNA from 1 species
GUCCACACUGUAAACGAUGGUUACUAGAUGUUCGUUCCAUAGGAAUGAGUGUCCAAGGGAAACCGAUAAGUAACCCACCUGGGGAGUACGACCGCAAGGUUGAAACUCAAAGGAAUUGACGGGGCCCGCACAAGCGGUGGAGCAUGUGGUUUAAUUCGAUGAUACGCGAGGAACCUUACCUGGGCUAGAAUGUGAGUGACGGAUCCUGAAAGGGGUCUUCUCUUCGGAGCACGAAACAAGGUGCUGCAUGGCUGUCGU